rnacentral:rRNA from 1 species
AUUGAACGCUGGCGGCAGGCCUAACACAUGCAAGUCGAGCGGAUGAAGGGAGCUUUCUCCUGGAUUCAGCGGCGGACGGGUGAGUAAUGCCUAUGAAUCUGCCUGGUAGUGGGGGAUAACGUCCGCUAACGGGCGCUAAUACCUCAUACGUCCUGAUUGAGAAACUGGGGGUUCUUCCGCCCUCACGCUCUCAUAUGAGCCUAGGUCGGAUUAGCUAGUUGGUGGGGUAAAGGCCUACCAAGGCAAGGAUCCGUAACUGGUCUGAUAGGAUGAUCAGGCACACGGGAAGUGAGAAACGGUCCAGAAUCCUAGGGGAGGAAGCAGUGGGGAAUAUUGGACAAUGGGCGAAAGGAUGAUAAAGCAAUGCGGCGUGUGUGAAGAAGGUGUUCGGAUUGUAAAGCACUUUAAGUUGGGAGGAAGGGAAGUAAGUUAAUACCUGGAUGUAUUGACGUUACCAAAAGAAUAAGCACCGGCUAACUUCGUG